UCUCGGUGAUUUAGCCAUAUGUGACCCACCUCUUCCCAUUCCGAACAGAGAAGUGAAAUCAUAUGGCUCCAAUGAUAGUUGUGACUUUUAGUUACAGCGAAAGUAGGAUUCGCCGGGAU
rnacentral:rRNA from 1 species